rnacentral:rRNA from 1 species
UACCUGCAGUCGAGCGGUAACAGGGGUAGCUUGCUACCCGCUGACGAGCGGCGGACGGGUGAGUAAUGCUUGGGAAGCUGCCCGGUAGAGGGGGAUAACAGUUGGAAACGACUGCUAAUACCGCAUAACCUCUUCGGAGCAAAGCGGGGGACCUUCGGGCCUCGCGCUACCGGAUGCGCCCAAGUGGGAUUAGCUAGUUGGUGGGGUAACGGCUCACCAAGGCGACGAUCCCUAGCUGGUCUGAGAGGAUGAUCAGCCACACUGGGACUGAGACACGGCCCAGACUCCUACGGGAGGCAGCAGUGGGGAAUAUUGCACAAUGGGCGAAAGCCUGAUGCAGCCAUGCCGCGUGUGUGAAGAAGGCCUUCGGGUUGUAAAGCACUUUCAGCGAGGAGGAAAGGGUAAGUCUUAAUACGGCUUAUCUGUGACGUUACUCGCAGAAGAAGCACCGGCUAACUCCGUGCCAGCAGCCGCGGUAAUACGGAGGGUGCGAGCGUUAAUCGGAAUUACUGGGCGUAAAGCGCAUGCAGGCGGCUGAUUAAGCCAGAUGUGAAAGCCCGGGGCUUAACCUCGGAAUUGCAUUUGGAACUGGUCAGCUAGAGUUCUUGAGAGGGUGGUAGAAUUUCAGGUGUAGCGGUGAAAUGCGUAGAGAUCUGAAGGAAUACCGGUGGCGAAGGCGGCCACCUGGCAA